CCUUAGCAGCGCUCAGCCAUACCGCCACAGCUACCUUCCGAGCGCGUCACACAAAGGAGGCUCCCAGCAGGCGGCGUGCGCUCAGGACGAGAGACGUGAGAAGAGACGCGGGACUCCUCGGCUCGUGCCACGCUCGUCCACGAAGUGAUACCGUGGAGGGUAAACGCAGCAUAGCAGUCGGCACGCGAAGCUUCCAAAAUACGCCCUCGUGCUAAAGGUUGUCUUUAAUGGUCGGUGCCCCAUCUGGAGCCCCCACGACCCUGAACAAGCAGCUACACAAAAUGGAUGGAUGGAAAUAUUCAAUAUGUCCUAUAUUUGUAUAGCAUAGUUAUUAAUGUUGUAUUAUAUAGUUAUGUAA